GAUGAACGCUGGCGGCGUGCUUAACACAUGCAAGUCGAACGGGAUCCCAGGGGUGCUUGCACUUUUUGGUGAGAGUGGCGAACGGGUGAGUAACACGUGAGUAACCUGUCCUUUUCUUUGGGAUAAGCAUUCGAAAGGGUGUUUAAUACCUUAUGUUCUGUCUGCCUCGCAUGGGGUGGGUGGGAAAGGCUUUGGCCGGAUUUGGGUGGGCUCGCGGUCUAUCAGCUUGUUGGUGGGGUGAUGGCUUACCAAGGCUUUGACGGGUAGCCGGCCUGAGAGGGUGGUCGGUCACAUUGGGACUGAGAUACGGCCCAGACUCCUGCGGGAAGCAGCAGUGGGGGAUAUUGCACAAUGGGCGAAAGCCUGAUGCAGCGACGCCGCGUGGGGGAUGAAGGCCUGCGGGUUGUAAACUUCUUUUGCUCUGAACAAGGCAUGCCAGUGGGUGUGUUGAGUGUAGGGGUUGAUUAGCGCCGGCUAACUACGUG
rnacentral:rRNA from 1 species